GGCACUUGUUGAACCUUUUUAUCUCCAUGUAACAAAGUAUUUUGACAUACAGGUGCAAAAAAUAAACCUUCUUUUGUAGAUCAGAACUCACUGAUCAGUAUGAGUUUUGAUACAUAGAAACAGGAAUAGG
ensembl:snoRNA